GAUCAUGGCUCAGGAUGAACGCUGGCGGCGUGCCUAAUACAUGCAAGUAGAACGCUGAAGCUUGGUGCUUGCACCGAGCGGAUGAGUUGCGAACGGGUGAGUAACGCGUAGGUAACCUACCUCUUAGCGGGGGAUAACUAUUGGAAACGAUAGCUAAUACCGCAUAAAAGUCGGCAUUGCAUGAUGUUGACUUGAAAGGUGCAACUGCAUCACUAAGAGAUGG
rnacentral:rRNA from 1 species